rnacentral:rRNA from 1 species
CCUACGGGAGGCAGCAGUGAGGAAUAUUGGUCAAUGGGCUUACGCCUGAACCAGCCAAGUCGCGUGAGGGAAGACUGCCCUAUGGGUUGUAAACCUCUUUUGUCAGGGAGCAACGCCGGCUACGUUUAGCCGGCCUGAGAAUACCUGAAGUAAAAGCCUCCGCUAACUCCGUGCCAGCAGCCGCGCUAAUAGGGAGGGUGCGAGCGUUAUCGGGAUUUAUUGGGUUUAAAGGGUGCGUAGGCGGAAUGCAAAGUGCGAGGGAAAAUCCCGGGGCUACACCUGGAUCCGCCGUUGAAACUGGCGGUAUUGAGUGGGCGAGAAGUAUGAGGAAUGCGGUGUGUAGGGGUGAAAUGCAUAGAUAACACGAAGAA